AACCCUAAUCAAUAGACUUACGGCGUAAAACGUGUUUAAGACUUUCCCCUCCCUUCUAAAGCUAAACUUUAGCCCUGCUGUAAAAAGCCCCAGCUACUGUAAGCCCUACCACGAAAGCAGCUUUAAAUCAUCUGAAUACACGACAGCUAAGGCCCAAACUGGGAUUAGAUACCCCACUAUGCUUAGCCCUAAACCUAAAGAAUCUACCAAACAAGAUUCUUCGCCAGAGAACUACUAGCCAAAGCCUAAAACUCAAGGGACUUGGCGGUGCUUUAUAUCCUUCUAGAGGAGCCUGUUCUAUAAUCGAUAAACCCCGAUAAACCUCACCAACCCUUGCCAACU
rnacentral:rRNA from 1 species